rnacentral:rRNA from 1 species
CCCUUAGAUGUUCUGGGCCGCACGCGCGCUACACUGAUGCAUUCAACGAGUUUCUUCCUGGUCCGAGAGGAAUGGGUAACCUUUUGAAAGUGCAUCGUGAUAGGGAUAGACUAUUGCAAUUAUUGAUCUUCAACGAGGAAUUCCUAGUAAGUAUGUGUCAUCAUCACGCACUGAUUACGUCCCUGCCCUUUGUACACACCGCCCGUCGCUCCUACCGAUUGGGUGAGCCGAUGAAACUCUCGGAUGUAGGCUAUUCAUAGCCCGCAGAAGAGAUUUGAAUCGUAGCGCUUAGAGGAAGGAGAAGUCGUAACA